rnacentral:rRNA from 1 species
UACGUAGGGUGCGAGCGUUGCCCGGAUUUAUUGGGCGUAAAGGGCGCGUAGGCGGCUCUGCACGUUCGUUGUGAAAUCGCCCGGCUCAACUGGGCGGGGUCAGCGGAUACGGCGGAGCUUGAGCAAGCUAGGGGGCAAUGGAAUUCCUGGUGUAGCAGUGAAAUGCGUAGAUAUCAGGAGGAAUACCGAUGGCGAAGGCAGGUCUCUGGGCUGACACUGACGCUCAUGCACGAAAGCGUGGGGAGCAAACAGG